rnacentral:rRNA from 1 species
CCUACGGGGGGCAGCAGUGGGGAAUAUUGGGCAAUGGGCGCAAGCCUGACCCAGCAACGCCGCGUGAAGGAAGAAGGCUUUCGGGUUGUAAACUUCUUUUAUCAGGGACGAAGCAAGUGACGGUACCUGAUGACUAAGCCACGGCUAACUACGGGCCAGCAGCCGCGGUAAUACGUAGGUGGCAAGCGUUAUCCGGAUUUACUGGGUGUAAGGGGCGUGUAGGCGGGAGUGCAAGUCAGAUGUGAAAACUAUGGGCUCAACCCAUGGCCUGCAUUUGAAACUGUACUUCUUGAGUGCUGGGGAGGCAAUCGGAAUGCCGGGUGUAGCGGUGAAAUGCGUAGAGAUACGGAGGAACACCAGUGGCGAAGGCGGAUUGCUGGACAAUAACUGACGCUGAGGCGCGAAAGCGUGGGGAGCAAACAGGAUUAGAUACCCCAGUAGUC